rnacentral:rRNA from 1 species
CCCGCACUAGCGGUGGAGCAUGUGGUUUAAUUCGAUGCACCGCGUAGUUCCUUUCCUGGUAUUGACAUCCUGAGUACUUAGCAGAGAUGCUUUGGUGCCUUCGGGAACUGUGAGACAGGUGCUGCAUGGCUGUCGUCAGCUCGUGUUGUUAAAUGUUGGGUUAAGUCCCGCAACGAGCGCAACCCUUAUCCUUUGUUGCCAGCGGUUCGGCCUGGAACUCAAAGGAGACUGCCAGUGAUAAACUGGAGGAAGGUGGGGAU